UAGAGUUUGAUCCUGGCUCAGGAUGAACGCUGGCGGCGUGCUUAACACAUGCAAGUCGAACGAACCUUCGGGUUAGUGGCGGACGGGUGAGUAACGCGUGAGAAUCUGCCCUCAGGAGGGGGAUAACGGUUGGAAACGACCGCUAAUACCCCAUAUGCCGAUAGGUGAAAUGAAUUUCGCCUGAGGAUGAGCUCGCGUCUGAUUAGCUUGUUGGUGAGGUAAUGGCUCACCAAGGCUUCGAUCAGUAGCUGGUCUGAGAGGAUGAUCAGCCACACUGGGACUGAGACACGGCCCAGACUCCUACGGGAGGCAGCAGUGGGGAAUUUUCCGCAAUGGGCGAAAGCCUGACGGAGCAACGCCGCGUGAGGGACGAAGGCCUCUGGGCUGUAAACCUCUUUUCUCAAGGAAGAAGAUAUGACGGUACUUGAGGAAUAAGCCACGGCUAAUUCCGUGCCAGCAGCCGCGGUAAUACGGGAGUGGCAAGCGUUAUCCGGAAUUAUUGGGCGUAAAGCGUCCGCAGGCGGCCUUUCAAGUCUGCUGUUAAAGCGUGGAGCUUAACUCCAUUAUGGCAGUGGAAACUGAUAGGCUUGAGUAUGGUAGGGGCAGAGGGAAUUCCCGGUGUAGCGGUGAAAUGCGUAGAUAUCGGGAAGAACACCAGUGGCGAAGGCGCUCUGCUGGGCAUUACUGACGCUCAUGGACGAAAGCCAGGGGAGCGAAAGGGAUUAGAUACCCCUGUAGUCCUGGCCGUAAACGAUGAACACUAGGUGUCGGGGGAAUCGACCCCUUCGGUGUCGUAGCUAACGCGUUAAGUGUUCCGCCUGGGGAGUACGCACGCAAGUGUGAAACUCAAAGGAAUUGACGGGGGCCCGCACAAGCGGUGGAGUAUGUGGUUUAAUUCGAUGCAACGCGAAGAACCUUACCAGGGUUUGACAUCCUGAGAACCUCUUAGAAAUUUGAGGGUGCCUUCGGGAAUUCAGUGACAGGUGGUGCAUGGCUGUCGUCAGCUCGUGUCGUGAGAUGUUGGGUUAAGUCCCGCAACGAGCGCAACCCACGUUUUUAGUUGCCAGCAUUUAGUUGGGCACUCUAGAAAGACCGCCGGUGAUAAACCGGAGGAAGGUGUGGAUGACGUCAAGUCAUCAUGCCCCUUACACCCUGGGCUACACACGUACUACAAUGCUACGGACAAAGGGCAGCAAACUCGCGAGAGCUAGCAAAUCCCAUAAACCGUGGCUCAGUUCAGAUCGUAGGCUGCAGCUCGCCUACGUGAAGUAGGAAUCGCUAGUAAUCGCAGGUCAGCAUACUGCGGUGAAUACGUUCCCGGGCCUUGUACACACCGCCCGUCACACCAUGGAAGUUGGCCAUGCCCGAAGUCGUUACUCCGACCCUUGUGGAGGAGGACGCCGAAGGUGGGGCUAAUGACUGGGGUGAAGUCGUAACAAGGUAACCA
rnacentral:rRNA from 1 species